CCCUCACUCCGGCCGGAGCUCCGAUUCUCCCCUGCGGUCCCGCGGCUCCCUCCCGCUCUCACUGGCGGUGGCGACUGGAACAGGCCGGUCCUCGGGCGUGGACGUGCUCUGUCCUUCCAGGGCUGGAGAGAGUUGGAGUUGAGGCGAGGAAAAUCAAGGUGUUUAUUUUAAAAGAAGAUUAACAAAAAGCAUACCUCAGAAAUAUUGCGGGUUCAGUUCCAGACCACUGAAGUAGAGCGAGUCACACAUAUUUCGGUUUCCC